CAAGUCGAGCGAGAAAGGCCUUCGGGCUGAGUACAGCGGCGGACGGGUGAGUAACGCGUAGGAAUCUACCUGGUAGUGGGGGACAACAUGGGGAAACUCAUGCUAAUACCGCAUACGCCCUAUGGGGGAAAGCGGGGGACCUUCGGGCCUCGCGCUAUCAGAUGAGCCUGCGUAGGAUUAGCUUGUUGGUGAGGUAAAGGCUCACCAAGGCGACGAUCCUUAGCUGGUCUGAGAGGAUGAUCAGCCACACUGGAACUGAGACACGGUCCAGACUCCUACGGGAGGCAGCAGUGGGGAAUAUUGCGCAAUGGGCGAAAGCCUGACGCAGCCAUGCCGCGUGUGUGAAGAAGGCCUUAGGGUUGUAAAGCACUUUCAAUUGGGAAGAAAGGUUGCGUGUUAAUAGCACGUAGCUGUGACGUUACCUUUAGAAGAAGCACCGGCUAACUCCGUGCCAGCAGCCGCGGUAAUACGGAGGGUGCGAGCGUUAAUCGGAAUUACUGGGCGUAAAGCGCGCGUAGGCGGUUUGUUAAGUCGGAUGUGAAAGCCCCGGGCUCAACCUGGGAAUUGCCUUCGAUACUGGCCGACUAGAGUACGAGAGAGGGAGGUAGAAUUCCACGUGUAGCGGUGAAAUGCGUAGAUAUGUGGAGGAAUACCGGUGGCGAAGGCGGCCUCCUGGCUCGAUACUGACGCUGAGGUGCGAAAGCGUGGGUAGCAAACAGGAUUAGAUACCCUGGUAGUCCACGCCGUAAACGAUGUCUACUAGCCGUUGGGAGACUUGAUUUCUUAGUGGCGCAGCUAACGCACUAAGUAGACCGCCUGGGGGAGUACGGCCGC
rnacentral:rRNA from 1 species